GUGAGGAAUAUUGGUCAAUGGGCGAGAGCCUGAACCAGCCAAGUCGCGUGAAGGAUGAAGGUUUUAUGAAUUGUAAACUUCUUUUGCAGGGGAAUAAAGUACGGUACGUGUACCGUUUUGUAUGUACUCUGCGAAUAAGGAUCGGCUAACUCCGUGCCAGCAGCCGCGGUAAUACGGAGGAUCCAAGCGUUAUCCGGAUUUAUUGGGUUUAAAGGGUGCGCAGGCGGGUUGAUAAGUCAGCGGUGAAAGUUUGUAGCUUAACUGUAAAAUUGCCGUUGAAACUGUCGAUCUUGAGUGCAAAUGAGGUAAGCGGAAUGUGUUGUGUAGCGGUGAAAUGCUUAGAUAUAACACAGAACACCGAUUGCGAAGGCAGCUUACUGGGAUGCAACUGACGCUCAUGCACGAAAGCGUGGGGAUCAAACAGGAUUAGAAACCCCAGUAGUCC
rnacentral:rRNA from 1 species